ensembl:lncRNA
GCCAAUUAACACACACUGCAGGCACACAUUUUGUGGUUGGAUUUCAAGUCUGCAUUGGAAUGAUAAGGAGCAUGUCCAUGGCAUUGAAUUAGAGGGUUUAGGGGUUUGCCUGUUUUGUAAGUUCUGAUCCAUUCCAUGUGUGACACAUGGGCUGUAGCCAAGCCUAUUCUGUUUUGCCCAAUAGGAAGUGAAUGGUGAAUAAUGUAGUGUGGCCUUUCGGAGUCACAUUUAUUGCCUACCCCGGUGAUGCUGGGCCAAUUGUGCGCAGCCCUAUGGGACUCCCGAUCAUGGCCGGAUGUGAUACAACCUUGAAUCGAACCGGGGACUGUAGUGAUGCCUCGUGCACUGAGAUGUAGUGCCUUAGAUUGCUGUGCCACCCGGGAGCCCUAGACAUUUAAGUGCCUUCAGAAAUGAUUCACACCUGUUGACUUUUUCCACAUUUUGUUUUGUUACAGCCUGGCCAACACACAAUAGCCCAUAAUGUUACAGUGAAAUUAUUUUUUUCUAAUGUUCUACAAAUUAAUUAAAAAUGAAAAGCUGAAAUGUCUUGAGUCAAUAAGUAUUCAACCACUUUGUUAUGGCAAGCCUAAAUAAGUUCAGGAGUAAAACUUUGCCUAACAAGAGUCACAUAUGUUGAAUGGACUCACUCUGUGUGCAAUAAUAGUGAAUACAAAGGUUUAUGUUUGGGGCAAAUCCAAUAGAACACAUUACUGAGUACCACUCUUCAUAUUUUCAACCAUACUGGUGGCUGCAUCAUGUUAUGGGUAUGCUUACUCCGGGUUAACUUGAUGGUAAAGCUAAAGCUCCUACAUAUUUCUGUACUGAAAAAAAU